UACGGAGGGUGCAAGCGUUAUCCGGGUUCACUGGGCUUAAAGGGCGCGUAGGUGGGCAAGUAAGUCAGAGGUGAAAUCUCCGGGCUUAACCCGGAAACUGCCAUUGAUACUAUUUGUCUUGAAUACUGUGGAGGUCAGCGGAAUAUGUCAUGUAGCGGUGAAAUGCUUAGAUAUGACAUAGAACACCAAUUGCGAAGGCAGCUGGCUACACAAAUAUUGACACUGAGGCACGAAAGCGUGGGGAUCAAACAGG
rnacentral:rRNA from 1 species